rnacentral:tRNA from 1 species
GCCUGAGUGGCGGAAUAGGUAGACGCACAGGACUUAAAAUCCUGCAGUAUCCCAAUACUGUGUGGGUUCAAUUCCCACCUUAGGCACCA